rnacentral:rRNA from 1 species
UUGACCUCAAAUCAGGUAGGACUACCCGCUGAAUUUAAGCAUAUCAAUAAGCGA